rnacentral:rRNA from 1 species
AUCUCAAGUCAUGUGAGAGUACCCGCUGAACUUAAGCAUAUCAAUAAGCGGGAGGAAAAGAAACUAACAAGGAUUCCCCUAGUAACGGCGAGUGAAGCGGGAAGAGCACAAAUUUAAAAUCUACCUGGUUUUCAGGUCGAGUUGUAAUUUGAAGAUACGUUUUUGACGUUCAGGGUUGGACUAAAUCCUUUGGGAUAAGGUAUCAUGGAGGGUGAGAAUCCCGUAUAUACCAACCAUAGGGAUGUUAUUUAAUACGUUUCUAAGAGUCGAGUUGUUUGGGAAUGCAGCUCUAAAUGGGUGGUAAAUUUCACCUAAUGCUAAAUAUAAGCGAGAGACCGAUAGCGAACAAGUACAGUGAUGGAAAGAUGAAAAGAACUUUGAAAAGAGAGUUAAAUAGUACGUGAAAUUGUUGAAAGGGAAACGAUUGAAGUCAGUCAUGCCAGUGGGAAUCAACUUAGAGGAAACUCUAGGUGCACUUCUUCGCUUGGCAGGUUAGUGUCGAUUUUGGAUGUCAUAAAAUGACUGGGGGAAGGUAGCUCCUUUGGGAGUGUUAUAGCCCUUGGUAGAUGUGAUGUCUGGAAUCGAGGAUUGCAACGGAUACCCUUUAGGGCUAGUCACCUGAUCUCUAAUUAGUGCUAGAUUACGGACAGCAUGCUGACCGUGAUUUAAUUAUUGGUUAAAAGGUUAGAGUGCACAUAAAUUCGUUAAGGACACUGACGUAAUGGCUUUAAACGACCCGUCUUGAAACACGGACCAAGGAGUCUAACAUGUAUGCGAGUGUU